GGAUAACCUACCCUUAGGACUGGGAUAACCCUGGGAAACUGGGGAUAAUACCGGAUAGGCAAUUUUUCCUGGAAUGGUUUUUUGUUUAAAUGUUUUUUCGCCUAAGGAUGGGUCUGCGGCCGAUUAGGUAGUUGGUUAGGUAACGGCUUACCAAGCCAUUGAUCGGUACGGGUUGUGAGAGCAAGAGCCCGGAGAUGGAACCUGAGACAAGGUUCCAGGCCCUACGGGGUGCAGCAGGCGCGAAACCUCCGCAAUGUGAGAAAUCGCGACGGGGGGAUCCCAAGUGCCAUUCUUAACGGGAUGGCUUUUCAUUAGUGUAAAGAGCUUUUGGAAUAAGGGCUGGGCAAGACCGGUGCCAGCCGCCGCGGUAACACCGGCAGCUCUAGUGGUAGCAGUUUUUAUUGGGCCUAAAGCGUCCGUAGCCGGUUUAAUAAGUCUCUGGUGAAAUCCUGUAGCUUAACUGUGGGAAUUGCCGGAGAUACUAUUAGACUUGAGACCGGGAGAGGUUAGAGGUACUCCCAGGGUAGAGGUGAAAUUCUGUAAUCCUGGGAGGACCGCCUGUUGCGAAGGCGUCUAACUGGAACGGUUCUGACGGUGAGGGACGAAAGUUAGGGGCGCGAACCGGAUUAGAUACCCGGGUAGUCCUAACUGUAAACGAUGCGGACUUGGUGUUGGGGGUGGCUUUGAGCUGCUCCAGUGCCGAAGGGAAGCUGUUAAGUCCGCCGCCUGGGAAGUACGGUCGCAAGACUGAAACUUAA
rnacentral:rRNA from 1 species